GUCAAUGUGAUGAACACUUGGGCAAGAUCGAGCUGGAAAAAUGUGAUGCUGUAUCUGUGACAUUUUCUCUUAGAGCAUAUUAACAGCCUGCCCUGCCUAUCAGUGUUUUAAACCUCUGCCUGUAAAGCAUGCAGCUAAUAUUUUGGACAUUUCUUUGACUUAUUAUACCUUUGAUGAUGGAAUCCAUAAGUCCUAAAUGUAAAAAUGUUGAGGAACUGUGUCUGAACUUCACAAUUUCUGCUAUGUGUUUGGUCUGUUUCGGUUUUGGAAGAAGUGAAGUCUUGGCUGUAGUGAAGCUAGUAGGUGAAGACAAAUCUAUGGCAAAUCCGGUGGCGACACGCAGUAUAAAAUACCAACAGAGUAACAUGGAGAGCGGCGAGGACGGUGCAAGUUUCUUGAGCUAAAGUCACCAGAGUGGAGAUUUCACAGGUGGAACCAAGGCGGCAGAAAUCCAAGGAAGCACACUGUUGUGCUGGAUUAUGGGCAGCAGUGCUGUAAAACCAGUCUGGAAAGACGGAGAUCCCUGAGCCCUGAGGGGAGGGUUUGAUGAAGACAUCCCAUUUAUGACUAGGUGCUCCAAUGUCUGUUACUGUCCAGCUGUGGGUCUCUGCAUUCAUUCCCAUCUACUGCGAGAAGAAGCUUCUCUGAACUGAGUGGAGCCUUUGUCAUGGUGAUGGAGAAGUCAGCAACAUGGAGUCUGAUCUUUUGGAGGACAGAUAAGAGCAGAAGCCAAAAGCAUCCGCAAACAGCUCUUGGGAUCUCACAAAGAGAUCCUACUAAACUCUCUCAUCUCUGCAAAGACAUCUUGCUGGCUGCCUUUGGUAUCCACAAGUAGGCACGGCCGUAGCCAUCACCACCAGAUGCUGAUGUUACCAUUGAACAUUUUAAGGCAAGGACAGGUUUUAUGGGGUCUUAACACAAGGCCCUCAGCCACACCUGACUUCCCCAGAAGAGAGGUAGAUGUGCAUUUAUUUACAUAUAAAAGAGGAAGAAGAUGUGAGUCAAUGGGUCGGAACAGAUGGUCCUGAGCACACUGUCCUUUCUCUCUGACAGUGACUCAAGUGGGUGGCUGGUUGACCAAGGCAUUUCCAGUCCUUGCAUAUGCCUCUCCCCAGGAUGGCUUCUCAAUCACAGAAGCAAAUAUGUGGGCCCUGGCCCCCCACUGUGAGUGGCUGCCACCUUGCUUGCCGACCUUGACCAGA